CCUGCUGCAGUUCAGUCAGCCUCACAGUAAAAGCACCAGAGGAUUUUCUGGGACAGGAUAAUGGAAAGAGUGAGGACAUUGUCACCUUGGUGUGAGGAAAGCUGCCUAAGCAGAAUUGAGUGAUUCGAGGGCACUUGUUGAGCUUGAUGUUCAUGCUGAGGAUGUUCUUGCAUCUCUGUCACACAAACAUUGCACCCAAAAAGCUAAAGUUGAAUCGAGCUCAAGGAAAGUUAAAAAUUUCUAUGGAUGGUCUAAGAAAGAAAGAAACAAACCUGAGGGAGGUUCAAGAUAAAUUUGCUCUACUCCAGCAGACACAGGAAUCCAAGAAACAAGAGAAAGCUGACUUGGAAAAUCAGUCUGCAUUUGCUGGUAUCAGCUUAUGUUGAAAAUGUAGCCUGGCUCCAUCUCCCUUGGGCCUUCAGAAGUGACUGAGCCAGGUAGAAAUUCGGGAGCUCAGCAAUUCUUCCAGUACAUUUUUGAGCCACUGCUGAACACUGUUCUGUGCUGUGAGAUUCUCUUUCUAUCACUGCUGAUGCUUCUGCCUCAGCUGACAUUUUCAGGCUUCCAAUCCCUAUUGCUUCUCCAGACCUAUGGUGUUACCAAAUUUUCCCUUAUCUGUGUUAAUCAAAUUACUCAAAAUCCUUGUGAUUUUACAAAGUUCACACAAUAUCAUGCUGUGUUGGUGGGCUACAAAUGUAUUUCCUCCAUCUCUCAAUGCAUUUUACC